AUCGCUUCUCGGCCUUUUGGCUAAGAUCAAGUGCAGAAUAUAUAAAGGCUUCAAAAAUUUAACACCUAAA
rnacentral:sRNA from 1 species